AGACGAAAUGGCUUGCUCUUCCUAAAUGUAAGAGCUACAAGCCUUUGCUAUCAAUUUCUACAACAUGGCUACAUUUUCUUCUCUGCAACUAAGAAGAAAAGAGACGACCAGCUCCCAGAUAUCCACAACCAGGACAACCCCAAGCCCAAACCCAAUGACAGGACACAUCUCUACAACCAGAACAACCCCAAGCCCAAACCCAAUGACAGGACACAUCUCCACAACCAGGACAACCCCAAGGCCAAGCCCAAUGACAAGACAUAUCUCCACAACCAGGACAACCCCACGCCUGACUCCAAGGACAACCAGCUUGGCCAACAGAACCUUCCUCUGCCCCAU